GCCAGUUUGGCCCAGUGGUUAAGGCAUCAGGCUAGAAACCAGGAGAUUGUGAGUUCUAGUCCCACACAAAGCC
rnacentral:tRNA from 1 species